UCCACCACCCAAUUGACAUUUAGAAAGGUAAAUGGAGAGAGAAAGAGAGGAAAUGGAUAAAGUUCGCAGAAAAAUGUUACCGUAAAUAAUGUGUCAGUGUGCUUGCUUCACGUUCUCCGUCUCUUUUCCCUCAUUUCUCUCCGCUC
ensembl:ncRNA T24H10.11 ncRNA